CGGGUGCACUGAUCCAGCCGGGCCUUUCCCUCUGUGGAACCCCAUGGCCCUUCACUGGCUGUGGUGGGGAAACAGACUUUUACUUUGAAAAAAUUAGGAGUGCUCCAGCAGCCUAUGCUCGAAUACAUUAGCAUGAUAAUAGAAUAGACGUGUGGUCUAUUUGUGUUCUAGGACGCGUAUGAUAUAGGGACAGUCGGGGGCAUCAGUAUUCAAUUGUCAGAGGUGAAAUUCUUGGAUCUAUUGAAGACUAACUACUGCGAAAGCAUUUGCCAAGGAUGUUUUCAUUGAUAAGGAACGAAAGUUAGGGGAUCGAAGACGAUCAGAUACCGUCGUAGUCUUAACUAUAAACUAUGCCGACUAGGGAUCGGACGAUGUUAUUCUUUGACGCGUUCGGCACCUUUCGAGAAAUCAAAGUGCUUGGGCUCCAGGGGGAGUAUGGUCGCAAGGCUGAAACUUAAAGAAAUUGACGGAAGGGCACCACCAGGGGUGGAACCUGCGGCUUAAUUUGACUCAACACGGGGAAACUCACCAGGUCCAGACACAGUGAGGAUUGACAGAUUGAGAGCUCUUUCUUGAUUCUGUGGGUGGUGGUGCAUGGCCGUUCUUAGUUGGUGGAGUGAUUUGUCUGCUUAAUUGCGAUAACGAACGAGACCUUAACCUGCUAAAUAGCCCGUACUGCUUUGGCAGUUCGCCGGCUUCUUAGAGGGACUAUCGG
rnacentral:rRNA from 1 species